GUGAGGAAUAUUGGGCAAUGGGCGCAAGCCUGACCCAGCCACGCCGCGUGAGUGAUGAAGGCCUUCGGGUCGUAAAGCUCUGUGGGGAGGGACGAAAAAUCUCCGUUCGAAUAGGGCGGAGACUUGACGGUACCUCCUUAGCAAGCACCGGCUAACUCUGUGCCAGCAGCCGCGGUAAUACAGAGGGUGCGAACGUUGCUCGGAUUUACUGGGCGUAAAGCGCGUGUAGGCGGGCUCGCAAGUCGGUUGUGAAAUCCCUGGGCUCAACCUAGGAACUGCAUCCGAAACUGCUUGUCUUGAGUGGUAGAGAGGGUGGCGGAAUUCCCGGUGUAGAGGUGAAAUUCGUAGAUAUCGGGAGGAACAUCAGUGGCGAAGGCGGCCACCUGGAUACUUACUGACGCUGAGACGCGAAAGCGUGGGGAGCAAACAGGAUUAGAAACCCCAGUAGUCC
rnacentral:rRNA from 1 species